UGAACCUACUUUUGAGGUGAAAAGCUUAGC
rnacentral:piRNA from 1 species